UACGAAGGGGACUAGCGUUGUUCGGAAUCACUGGGCGUAAAGCGCACGUAGGCGGAUUCGUAAGUCAGGGGUGAAAUCCCGGGGCUCAACCUCGGAACUGCCUUUGAUACUGCGGGUCUUGAGUCCGAUAGAGGUGGGUGGAAUUCCUAGUGUAGAGGUGAAAUUCGUAGAUAUUAGGAAGAACACCGGUGGCGAAGGCGGCUCACUGGCUCGUAACUGACGCUCAUGCACGACAGCGUGGGGAUCAAACAGG
rnacentral:rRNA from 1 species